AAGUCGUAACAAGGUCUCCGUUGGUGAACCAGCGGAGGGAUCAUUACAGAGUGUUAACACACCCUAAACCCCUGUGAACAUACCUCUUGUUGCCUCCACGGUGCAGCAGGCGGGCUCUCGAGCUACUCGGCGGCAGGCUACCCUGUAGUCAGUCACCCUGUAGCGCCGGGUAGUCCCCUCUCCCGUGAAAGGCCCCAACGAACUCUGUUGUAACCUGCAACUCUGAAUCUAAAACAAAUAAGUUAAAACUUUCAACAACGGAUCUCUUGGUUCUG
rnacentral:misc_RNA from 1 species